rnacentral:rRNA from 1 species
AACGAACGCUGGCGGCGUGCUUAACACAUGCAAGUCGAGCGGUAAGGCCCUUUCGGGGGUACACGAGCGGCGAACGGGUGAGUAACACGUGGGUGACCUGCCUUUAGCUCUGGGAUAAGCCUGGGAAACUGGGUCUAAUACCGGAUACGACUCCGCGGUGCAUGCUGUGGGGUGGAAAGCCUUGUGCGGCUGGAGAUGGGCCCGCGGCCUAUCAGCUUGUUGGUGGGGUGAUGGCCUACCAAGGCGACGACGGGUAGCCGGCCUGAGAGGGCGACCGGCCACACUGGGACUGAGACACGGCCCAGACUCCUACGGGAGGCAGCAGUGGGGAAUCUUGCGCAAUGGGCGAAAGCCUGACGCAGCGACGCCGCGUGAGGGAUGACGGCCUCGGU